rnacentral:lncRNA from 1 species
UAUAUAAUUUACAAUAAUGAAUUAUAUAAAUAUCUAAAUUUUAGAUAUUAUAUAAGGGAUUUGCGGUGAAUGUGAUCUUGAAUGAUCUUCAGUUGUGAGCAGUAAAGGAUGCGAUUGAGAUGCUGCAUUUGAGAUUACAGAGCAACAACAUAAGAGAGAUCUUGGUGCGCCUCCAUAUUUCAUGCCAUACCGCAUAUCUAUAUUGUAACAGAAUAGUAUCGGUAUAAGAUUUAAUACUAAGAUAGAUAACUUUGGAGCAAAUAAUAUAUAUGGUUAAAGAAAUCUAAACAUAAUGUAGCGAUAACAUCUAAAACACUUUCUAGCUCAUAAACAGCCAAUAUAUUAGAAAUUAACACACUCUUUCAAGAAUCUUAAGUGCCUACUGAAGUACAAUUAAUUGCUAUUUUCCGAGCCAACUGUGUAUAUCAGGAGGGCCGCCUAAGUUGUCUCUCACGUGGUUCAGUAUUUUAGUGGUUGGCUGUGAGAUAAUCUUAGGCUACCCUUUUCAUUUCCAUGAUAUUGUAUUCCCUACUACUUACGUAGAUGUACUUAUACUAGAGUAGUAUAAAUUAUUCGUAUUAUCAAAAAAAAAAGAAAAAAAAAAGAGCACAACCAAUGUGCAAAGGAUCUGACAAAACCAAUCCUCAAUUUACAACACAAGACUUUUCAAAUAAAAACUGGAAAAUAAAAUCCUCUUGAGUUUUGGAAUAUCAUUUUUAUAUCUACGAGGGCGGAUGUUUUUAAAUGAUUGUCAGGGUUGUCUGACAUAGCAAUGCCAAAGGCAGUCUGAAAAAGCACAUAAGAAGAAUGGAAACCAA